rnacentral:rRNA from 1 species
ACACAUGCAAGUCGAGGGGCAGCAUGGUCUUAGCUUGCUAAGACUGAUGGCGACCGGCGCACGGGUGAGUAACACGUAUCCAACCUGCCGUCUACUCUUGGACAGCCUUCUGAAAGGAGGAUUAAUACAAGAUGGCAUCAUGAGUCCGCAUGUUCACAUGAUUAAAGGUAUUCCGGUAGACGAUGGGGAUGCGUUCCAUUAGAUAGUAGGCGGGGUAACGGCCCACCUAGUCUUCGAUGGAUAGGGGUUCUGAGAGGAAGGUCCCCCACAUUGGAACUGAGACACGGUCCAAACUCCUACGGGAGGCAGCAGUGAGGAAUAUUGGUCAAUGGGCGAGAGCCUGAACCAGCCAAGUAGCGUGAAGGAUGACUGCCCUAUGGGUUGUAAACUUCUUUUAUAAAGGAAUAAAGUCGGGUAUGCAUACCCGUUUGCAUGUACUUUAUGAAUAAGGAUCGGCUAACUCCGUGCCAGCAGCCGCGGUAAUACGGAGGAUCCGAGCGUUAUCCGGAUUUAUUGGGUUUAAAGGGAGCGUAGAUGGAUGUUUAAGUCAGUUGUGAAAGUUUGCGGCUCAACCGUAAAAUUGCAGUUGAUACUGGAUAUCUUGAGUGCAGUUGAGGCAGGCGGAAUUCGUGGUGUAGCGGUGAAAUGCUUAGAUAUCACGAAGAACUCCGAUUGCGAAGGCAGCCUGCUAAGCUGCAACUGACAUUGAGGCUCGAAAGUGUGGGUAUCAAACAGGAUUAGAUACCCUGGUAGUCCACACGGUAAACGAUGAAUACUCGCUGUUUGCGAUAUACUGCAAGCGGCCAAGCGAAAGCGUUAAGUAUUCCACCUGGGGAGUACGCCGGCAACG